AUUCUUACGAAUGUACAUUCGGGACGAAACAAAUCGCAUGUGCCUAUUGCCCACCGUGUUGCAGCUCAGUUCAGGGUUUUGGCAAUCUUCUUAUAGCCUAGGCCAUCUUUAUGUAGAGCAACAAUAAUUUUUUUCAGAUCUUCAGAGAGUUCUUUGCCAUGAGGGGCCAUGUUGAACUUCCAGUGACAAGUAUGAGAGAGUGUGAGAGCGAUAACACCAAAUUUAACACACCUGCUCCCUAUUCACACCUGAGAUCUUGUAACACUAAUGAGUCAUAUGACU